GACGAACGCUGGCGGCGUGCCUAAUACAUGCAAGUCGAACGCAGUGGGGACGGGUGCGUAACACGUGGGUAACCUCCCGUCAGAGGGGAUAACCCUUGGCAACAGGUGCUAAACCGCUACUGAUGGAUGAACCCGCGGUGGUUUAGCUAGUUGGUGAGGUAACGGCGCACCAAGGCCACGAUGCAUAGCGGACCUGAGAGGGUGAUCGGCCACACUGGAACUGAGACACGGCCCAGACUCCGACGGGAGGCAGCAGUGGGGAAUCUUAGGCAAUGGACGAAAGUCUGACCGAGCAAUGCCGCGUGAGUGAAGAAGGUUUUCGGAUCGUAAAGUACUGUUGGUAGAGAAGCGGUACCUAAACAGAAAGCCACGGCUAACUACGUGCCAGCAGCCGCGGUAAUUC
rnacentral:rRNA from 1 species